GAUGAACGCUGGCGGCGUGCCUAAUACAUGCAAGUCGAGCGAACGGACGAGAAGCUUGCUUCUCUGAUGUUAGCGGCGGACGGGUGAGUAACACGUGGAUAACCUACCUAUAAGACUGGGAUAACUUCGGGAAACCGGAGCUAAUACCGGAUAAUAUUUUGAACCGCAUGGUUCAAAAGUGAAAGACGGUCUUGCUGUCACUUAUAGAUGGAUCCGCGCUGCAUUAGCUAGUUGGUAAGGUAACGGCUUACCAAGGCAACGAUGCAUAGCCGACCUGAGAGGGUGAUCGGCGACACUGGAACUGAGACACGGUCCAGACUCCUACGGGAGGCAGCAGUAGGGAAUCUUCCGCAAUGGGCGAAAGCAUGACGGAGCAACGCCGCGUGAGUGAUGAAGGUCUUCGGAUCGUAAAACUCUGUUAUUAGGGAAGAACAUAUGUGUAAGUAACUGUGCACAUCUUGACGGUACCUAAUCAGAAAGCCACGGCUAACUACGUG
rnacentral:rRNA from 1 species